rnacentral:misc_RNA from 1 species
CCCCUCCCCCCUUGGCCUUCAUGUUUUGCUCUUCCUGCUCGAGGGAUCCCUCCUCAUCCUCCGCCUUCACGCUUGAGAGGCGCGCACGCGAGUCUCACCUCAUUCUCUGCCGUUGUGGAUAACUCAUUGUGGCUCCGCAACCACCACCAGCACCCAAACACAGUACCUUGAUGCUGGCAUACUCUCUCCAACUGUACUCGAAGGAGAAACCCCCAUGACGGUGUGCCGCCCGCCGUAGCACAGCAAGAGCAGCGGGUCCCCGAACUGAGAGGCGUCAGCACCUCGUCAGCGCUGCACUGUCUUUCCGUUGCUUUCUUUGUAUCUUGCGUCGCUUCGUCGCCGUUGCUGUUGUGUGUGCCUUCGCCGUCCCCUCCACCCCCGACUCUCUUCACCCGCAGACCCUCUGCGCUACUCGAGGCUGGCAUGAGCCGGCCGCUCGAGUUCGCCUUCUCCGGCGGCCACCUGCGCCGCCUGGAGCGGGAGCGCAUGGUACCGGGCUUCCAGGUCCAGCGCCUGCAGCCCUCGCACAAGCCACGUGUAGUCAUUGCGAAGAAGGAGCAUGCAGGCUUUGUGCCACGUGCGCAGCGGCAGCCGAAUGUGGCAUGGUGGCACCAUUCGCUCUGUGAUGGGGCCCUCAUAGUGAAGGACCUCAAGGAGCUCAUCUACGUUGGCGAGGAUCCAAGAACCGGCGAGAACAUCUUUUCCUCCAUGGCAGACAACCUUGCCGGGCGCCGGCUGUCACAGCUGAUCUGGGCGCCGUCCAAGGACGGGCACGUGUUCGAGAUGGCGCGGCCGGAGCAGGCGGCCUAUGGCCUCGCUAUGUCGCUUGUCCGCUGGCACGCCUCCAACCGGUUUUGUGCCAACUGCGGAACGGCAACGGACCCAACGCGCGAUGUCGGCUUCAGCCGGCUUUGCCCCAAGUGCAGGAAGCAGCACUUCCCCCAGCUUGUGCCCGCCGUGCUCGUGGCGGUACUGGACGGCAAGGGCAACGUCAUCCUGUCGCAGCGGCGCAAGGAGAGCAAGAUGCUGACGCUGCUCUCUGGAUUUGUUCUGCACGGCGAGUCAGCCGAGGAGACGGUGCGGCGUGAGGUGGAGGAGGAGAGCGGCGCCAGGGUGAGCGAGGUGCGCUACAUCGGGUCUCAGCCGUGGCCGUAUCCCUACCUGAUGAUGAUGUGCUACUACGCGGUGGCUGAUGCCUCACCGAGUCUGGUGGUGGAUGCCUCCGAGCUUGAAAAGGUGAUGUGGGUUUGCAAGCAGGACGUGCGGCGCGCGCUGGAGGGUCAGCACUCGGACAUGGAGCUGCGCGGCCCAGGCACCACGCCGUAUGCAAUGCUGAAGCCGUGGGUCGACGGGGAAGUCGAUGACCGCGGGCAAGUCACGAAGCCACAGAGCCAACUCUGACCUCGUCUGUUGGAUUG